CUAGGGGUUGUAGACAAGAUAAAAAUGCUGUAGUUGUGAUGUUAGGCGCAAGUGCGCAACUUUUAAUGGUUGGUUGAACCCCAUGCUUGCCAAGAGGCCAAUGACAUCAUAGUUGUGUCGGAUGAUGUUGUAGCUAGCCUGUUGAUGUCUUAUUUAUUUAGGCCAUAUGAGCAAAUGAGUUUUGUAGCUAAUGUGCCGGUCUGUCAGCCCUGCCUGGCACCAUUAAGAAAUCCUGUUUUUCAGAGCUCAUAUUCCUCUGCGAGUAGAGUAU
rnacentral:sRNA from 1 species